AACCUCCGCAAUGUGAGAAAUCGCGACGGGGGGAUCCCAAGUGCCAUUCUUAACGGGAUGGCUUUUCUUAAGUGUAAAAAGCUUUUGGAAUAAGAGCUGGGCAAGACCGGUGCCAGCCGCCGCGGUAACACCGACAGCUCUAGUGGUAGCUGUUUUUAUUGGGCCUAAAGCGUUCGUAGCCGGUUUGAUAAGUCACUGGUGAAAUCCUGUAGCUUAACUGUGGGAAUUGCUGGUGAUACUGUUGAACUUGAGGUCGGGAGAGGUUAGCGGUACUCCCAGGGUAGAGGUGAAAUUCUGUAAUCCUGGGAGGACCACCUGUGGCGAAGGCGGCUAACUGGAACGAACCUGACGGUGAGGGACGAAAGCUAGGGGCGCGAACCGGAUUAGAUACCCGGGUAGUCCUAGCCGUAAACGAUGCGGACUUGGUGUUGGGAUGGCUUUGAGCCGCUCCGGUGCCGAAGGGAAGCUAGUACGCCGCCGUCGAGGAACGUCGCAAGAGUAAUAAACGUAAGU
rnacentral:rRNA from 1 species